AGGAUAAACGCUGGCGGCGUGCCUAACACAUGCAAGUCGAACGUCUCUUCUUUCGGGAAGAGGAGUGGCGGACGGGUGAGGAACACGUGGGAACCUGCCCUUCAGUGAGGAAUACCGGCGAGAAAUCGCCGACAAGACCGCAUAGCCCUCUCUGGUGAGAGCCAGAGAAGGAAAGCCUCGCAAGAGGCGCUGGAGGAGGGGCCUGCGUCCGAUUAGCUAGUUGGUGGGGUAAGAGCCUACCAAGGCGUCGAUCGGUAGCUGGUCUGAGAGGACGAUCAGCCACACUGGGAUUGAGAACGGCCCAGACUCCUACGGGGGGCAGCAGUGAGGAAUUUUCGUCAAUGGGGGCAACCCUGAACGAGCAACGCCGCGUGCAGGAUGACACUUUUCGGAGCGUAAACUGCUUUUCUUAGGGACGAGUAAGGACGGUACCUAAGGAAUCAGCCCCGGCUAACUACGCGCCAGCAGCCGC
rnacentral:rRNA from 1 species